ACUCCUGCGGGAGGCAGCAGUGGGGAAUAUUGGACAAUGGGCGCAAGCCUGAUCCAGCCAUGCCGCGUGAGUGAUGAAGGCCCUAGGGUUGUAAAGCUCUUUCACCGGUGAAGAUAAUGACGGUAACCGGAGAAGAAGCCCCGGCUAACUUCGUGCCAGCAGCCGCGGUAAUACGAAGGGGGCUAGCGUUGUUCGGAUUUACUGGGCGUAAAGCGCACGUAGGCGGACUAUUAAGUCAGGGGUGAAAUCCCGGGGCUCAACCCCGGAACUGCCUUUGAUACUGGUAGUCUUGAGUUCGAGAGAGGUGAGUGGAAUUCCGAGUGUAGAGGUGAAAUUCGUAGAUAUUCGGAGGAACACCAGUGGCGAAGGCGGCUCACUGGCUCGAUACUGACGCUGAGGUGCGAAAGCGUGGGGAGCAAACAGGAUUAGAUACCCGAGUAGUCCCAUG
rnacentral:rRNA from 1 species